rnacentral:rRNA from 1 species
AGAGUUUGAUCCUGGCUCAGGAUGAACGCUGCGGUAUGCUUAACACAUGCAAGUCGAACGAAAGUCUUCGGACUUUAGUGGCGGACGGGUGAGUAACGCGUGAGAAUCUGCCUUCAGGUUGGGGACAACAGUUGGAAACGGCUGCUAAUACCCAAUGUGCCGAGAGGUGAAAGCUUUAGUGCCUGAAGAUGAGCUCGCGUCAGAUUAGCUAGUUGGUGUGGUAAUGGCGCACCAAGGCGACGAUCUGUAGCUGGUCUGAGAGGAUGAUCAGCCACACUGGGACUGAGACACGGCCCAGACUCCUACGGGAGGCAGCAGCGGAAUUUUCCGCAAUGGGCGAAAGCCUGACGGAGCAAUACCGCGUGAGGGAGGAAGGCUCUUGGGUUGUAAACCUCUUUUGUCAGGGAAGAAGAUCUGACGGUACCUGACGAAUCAGCAUCGGCUAACUCCGUGCCAGCAGCCGCGGUAAUACGGAGGAUGCAAGCGUUAUCCGGAUUUAUUGGGCGUAAAGCGUCCGCAGGUGGUUGUACAAGUCUGUUGUUAAAGCGUGGAGCUUAACUCCAUAACGGCGAUGGAAACUGUGCGACUAGAGUACGGCAGGGGUAGCGGGAAUUCCCAGUGUAGCGGUGAAAUGCGUAGAUAUUGGGAAGAACACCGCCGGCGAAAGCGCGCUACUGGGCCUGUACUGACACUCAUGGACGAAAGCCAGGGGAGCGAAAGGGAUUAGAUACCCCUGUAGUCCUGGCUGUAAACGAUGGAUACUAGGUGUUGGACGUAUCGACCCGUUCAGUGCCGUAGCUAACGCGUUAAGUAUCCCGCCUGGGGAGUACGCACGCAAGUGUGAAACUCAAAGGAAUUGACGGGGGCCCGCACAAGCUGGAGUAUGUGGUUUAAUUCGAUGCAACGCGAAGAACCUUACCAGGGCUUGACAUGUCGCGAAUCCCGGUGAAAGUCGGGAGUGCCUUUGGGAGCGCGAACACAGGUGGUGCAUGGCUGUCGUCAGCUCGUGUCGUGAGAUGUUGGGUUAAGUCCCGCAACGAGCGCAACCCUCGUUUCUAGUUGCCAUCAUUUAGUUGGGCACUCUGGAGAGACUGCCGGUGACAAACCGGAGGAAGGUGGGGAUGACGUCAAGUCAGCAUGCCCCUUACGUCCUGGGCUACACACGUACUACAAUGCUAUGGACAAAGAGCUGCAAGCCAGCGAUGGCAAGCCAAUCUCAUAAACCAUGGCUCAGUUCAGAUUGCAGGCUGCAACUCGCCUGCAUGAAGGAGGAAUCGCUAGUAAUCGCAGGUCAGCAUACUGCGGUGAAUACGUUCCCGGGCCUUGUACACACCGCCCGUCACACCAUGGGAGUUGGCCACGCCCGAAGUCGUUACUCCAACCGUUCGCGGAGGGGGAUGCCGAAGGCAGGGCUGAUGACUGGGGU